rnacentral:rRNA from 1 species
CCUACGGGAGGCAGCAGUGAGGAAUAUUGGUCAAUGGACGAGAGUCUGAACCAGCCAAGUCGCGUGAAGGAUGACUGACCUAUGGGUUGUAAACCUCUUUUAUAAAGGAAUAAAACGAGGCACGUGUGCCUUUUUGCAUGUACUUUAUGAAUAAGGAUCGGCUAACUCCGUGCCAGCAGCCGCGGUAAUACGGAGGAUCCGAGCGUUAUCCGGAUUUAUUGGGUUUAAAGGGUGCGUAGAUGGGUUGUUAAGUCAGUUGUGAAAGUUUGCGGCUCAACCGUAAAAUUGCAAUUGAAACUGGUAGUCUUGAGUAAGGUUGAGGUAGGCGGAAUGCGUGGUGUAGCGGUGAAAUGCUUAGAGAUCACACAGAACACCGAUUGCGAAGGCAGCAUACCAAGCUACUACUGACGUUGAGGCACGAAAGCGUGGGGAGCGAACAGGAUUAGAUACCCCAGUAGUC